UACGGAGGGUGCAAGCGUUAUCCGGAUUCACUGGGCUUAAAGGGUGCGUAGGAGGGCAGGUAAGUCAGUGGUGAAAUCUUUGGGCUUAACCCGAAAACUGCCAUUGAUACUAUCUGUCUUGAAUGCGGUGGAGGUGAGCGGAAUAUGUCAUGUAGCGGUGAAAUGCUUAGAUAUGACAUAGAACACCGAUUGCGAAGGCAGCUCGCUACACCUGCAUUGACUCUGAGGCACGAAAGCGUGGGGAUCAAACAGG
rnacentral:rRNA from 1 species